rnacentral:lncRNA from 1 species
GUAUCCCCAUCAUUAUGCAACGCAUACUGUAGUUGGGAAAACUGCCUUUCACAAGCCAUAUCACUUGGCUCAAACAGGUCUGCAGUAGGUAAUAUAACGACUAGUCAUUCCACCUGGCAAGUUGUGCUGCUAUUGCAUGACAUUGACCUGAUUGAGGGCACAUGUGAUCAGCUGUCUCCUGUCAUACCAGGCUAUCAUACCUCUCUAAGGCUGGAAGUAGAGAAAAGGCAUUGAAAUGGUUUCAUAUCUUUGUGAAUUUAAUCCUGUCAUUUCUAUUGAUCACUUUGGCCGUGGAGACUAAGAGGGAGAAAAGUACAGGGGGCAGACCAGGACCAGUGGUUCAAAGUUACAUAAGAAGCCAGUAUCUCCUUAUGAUGGGAACAGGAGGCAGAGAAAUUCUAGGCAGAAAAGGAAGGGGUCCCUGGUGAAGCCCCACCCUCAAGCCUAGAACCGUGGCCCAAAGUGAGAACAUCCCCAUUUUCCCACUCAAAUGUUGCCUUUUCCAAAACCACCCUGGCCCACCCCGUCCCCCAUCCCAUACCCAUAAAAACCCCAGGCUCCACUGGCAGAGGAGCAGCAGAGAAGGAGAGAAGAGAAGCAGCCAGACGUCAGAGAGAAGCAGCUUGACUUCAGAAGGAUGGCUUGACGGUGGGACUUUGGAGAAGAGCCUGGUCAGGGAUGGCCAGACUCCAGGGGAAGACCACCUGCCUGCUCCACCCCCUUUCCAGCUCCCCUUCCCACUGAAAGCCACUUUCAUCAGCAAUAAAAUCCUCUGUAUUCA